rnacentral:tRNA from 4 species
CGGGGCGUAGCGCAGCCUGGGUAGCGCGCUUGCUUGGGGUGCAAGAGGUCGCGAGUUCAAAUCUCGCCGCCCCGACCA